rnacentral:lncRNA from 1 species
UGAGAGUGUCUCACUUGCCCUGACUUCCCAGCAACCCUAGGGGAGAGUUCCAGUCUCCAUUCCAUGGAAAGGCUUCUUGUCACAUCAUUGUCCCAGGAAAACUGCCCAUGACAUCAUUCUCUGAGCUCUACCCCAGGCACCUCAUAGAAGAUUCACGUCAAUGAUCUCCAGUGAGGUGCAAUUCGCUUGAGCUAAAGUGCCCUGUACAAUCUAGGGUGAUCUGCAGAAGCCAGGGUACCCUGUAGGAGCUGGGGUACCCUGUAUGAACUGCUGGGUAUCCUGCAUGCACCUGGUACCCUGUAUGAGCUGGGAUAUCCUUUAUGAGCUGAGGUGCAGUCUCCACUCAACCCACUAUGAGAAAAACAUCAAACUCCAAUUCUUCAGUGUUCCUGCCGGUCCUCCUCAGAACAGCCAAGGUCAAGGUCAUUCAACACAGGAAAGUCUGAGAAUCCAUCACCACCAAGAGGAGUCUAAGGAGAACUGAGGAUUGAGGGCCAUGGGGUGUCCCGGCUGGGGUCCGGGGUAGAGACGGAUUUUAGGUAAAGACUAGAGAACCCCGAAUAAAGCGUGGGCUUCAGUGAAGCACUCCUGUGAGUCAGUACUGCUCUGUGAACUGGGGCGGAUGCACAGAGGAACACGAUCUAAUAAUGGGAAAAGAGGAGAUGGGGUGUGGGCUAUGUAGGAACUCUGUGCUAUCUUUACAAUUUUUCUACAAGUUCAUUAUUUUAAAAUUAAAAAUUUAGGAAGAAAAACAACAACAAAAACAUUCCCAGGGGAUUCCAUUGUCCAGUGGGCAUUAGAAUGUUGUUGUUGUUGUAAUUUGUUUAUUGUCACGUUAGCCAUUAUUUAUUAUUAUGUCACAUAUGUGAGACCACAAGGGCUGCUCCCCGCAUACCGGUGGCCCCCCCAGUUAGCUGCCUUGGGGAGGGGAGGAAGACCACCAGAGCCCAGGACGAUCUGCUGUGCAGAUCAUGAACCGUCGCCGCAGUGCCAGACAGACUCUUCAUCCGGACCGGCCGUCCCACUGGGUCCCCUCAGGAAAGCGCAGAAGCCGGGGACCCCAAACCGCGUCCAGCUCCUCCCACCCGCCCUUCUCGGAGCCGCGCACUUGGUAACUUGCGUGUGAAGAACUCACGGCCGUGUUGCCAGGAAACUGCGGGGAGCAGCCUUUGUGGUCUCACAUAUGCGUAACAUAAUAAUAAAUAACGGUUAACGUGAUAAUAAAUAAACAAAUAACAAUAAUUAUAACGUGCCCCAAGCCUGUUGUUUCUCCAAAAUUAAUUUAUGAUGAAUUACGACUCGAAUUCCUCGGAACAUACCAGUGGGAAGAGGAGAGGGGGCUAUUUUAUUUGCCACUGGGCUCAGAGUAGGGUUAAGAACUGUCUUUCCCUGAGCCAGACCUUGUCCCAGGUCCCUGGUAACCCAGGGAAGGUCGCCAGAGAGGAAUUCUCUCUUUCCCUCUGCUUCUCACAUCUCCUCCUCUGCCUAGGACAGUGAAGUUUUUUAGAUACUUUACUUGCAUUUCUAAUUCAGUUAUUCUUCUGAAAUUUAUUCAAAGGAUUUAUGCUUAUGAAAUUAUAAUAUAAUGCUGCCUAUAUGCCAAUGAGCUGGAGGCAAAGAAAAUAAUUUUCUUCAAUUUACAGUUAUGAGGCUGGAGGAAAAUGAUGCCUUCUUAUCACCUCUUUCUCUUUGUAUGUCUCGGUAUUUUUUUAAGUCUUCAGAAGGCAGGAGCUGAUGAUGAAUUCUUAAGCAGAUCACACUGAUAAUUGUAUUUCAGAGCUGUCAGCGCUGGGAAGACUGGCCAGCGACUGUCUCCAUGCACUUGAGCUAUUUGUGUCGCUGCCUUCCUUCUCAGGAACUCAGCCCUCAAUAAAGCCAACUCGCUGGGGAUAUUGUUAAAUCGUCUGAGAGGAUUAUUAGAUCGAAGGGAAAUUUAUGGAUGACACUUUGUAACAAUUAAUCAGGAACUGUUGAUGAAGUUUAAGUUGGUUCUUUAUUCCUGGACCAAAAAAAUAUAUAUAUACGUAUAUAGAUGUGUGUGUAUAUAUAUAUAUACACACACACAUAUAUAAAAUCAUAAUAAUAUUCAGCCCUUGUUCCAAUUGUCAAAUGGCUCAUUUUGUCACUCUGUUUGAUUAAUGAACCUUUUGGAGUCCCCCAAAAGUCCUAGUAAUACAAAUAAAGAGAAUCAUAAAUAUUGAAUAAGCUCACAGCACAGUUAACCUUGACUACAUUUUGGGACAUACUUGGAGAAACUUUGCUAUACGGAAAAUAAAUUGCUGUGGGGAUUAAAAAAAUAUGCACACCCAUACCAAAUUGGAGAUUUUGGAGAAUGUCACCUCUCUGACCUUGUCACUCUUAAUAAUCUGUUGUGAUUAAUUAGUUUAGUUAGCUUUACAAUCAGGUCAGCAGAGCGCCGGCAUGCUGGCGUGUUUUACCGAUGGGUCCCUGCCCAGCCCAGAAAGGGAUGCGGGCUGGGGUGAGGGAGGGUCUGGAGCUAAUGGGGCUGGUGUUCUAACCUCACAAGGUACUAAACGAGGGUGAUGGGUGAGGACGAUUUCAGGUCGUAAUUUACGGAGCAGGGCCCUGGGUGGGGGCAGGGAGCCUUCAUUGUGUGUUGGUUCUUGUGUUGAGUGCACUCACCCUUCUCAGGCAAAGAUCCCCCCUCACCAGCUUGGAGCUUUUGCUGACACCCCUUCAAAGUUCUGAUUCCAGAUCUGACCAGUUAUUUGACCCAGAAAACAGAUUCUAACUAGGCUGUAAUGACUUGCAAUUUUUGAAUGUAGCAUCUAGUCCAGGGGUUAAGAUUCCAGGGUAAGAGAGAAGUGGAUUUGAGUUCUCCUCUGCCGUAUCAGAGCCGUGUGGCCCUGGGCGGUUGGCUUUGACUUUCCGAGUCUCGGUUUCCUUAUCUGUAAAAUGGAGUUUCUACAUCCUAGGAUUUUUACAAGGAUGAAGUGAAACAAUUCAAAGAAACAGCUUGGCCAAAUGUCCAGCAUGCAAUACUCUGCAGUGGGUAGGACUGUGUCGUCCUGCAAUAGAAGUUGAAGUCCUAACCCCUGAGACCUGUGAAGGUGACCACUAGGGUACGCCUUAAGCCAAUGACUGGUGUCCUUAUAUAAGAAUCUGGACACAGUCACGGGGAAGACAGCCACACAAAGCCAGAGGCAGAGAUCGGAAGAUGCAGCUGCAGGCCAAGGACGGCCAGAAUUCACGGAGCCGAAGCGCCGGAGAAGCCAGGAAGGAUCUUCCCACAGAGCCUUCGGAGGGGCGGGGCCCUGCCGACACCUGGGUUUUGGAUUUCUAGUCUCUAGGACUGUGAGAAUACAUUUCCGCCGCUUCCAGCCAUGUUUUCCGUCAUUUGUGAAGGCAGCCUUUGGAAACUGAUACGUGCUGUAGGGUCACUGUGAUCUGGUUUGCAGGGAACAAGUAAGGUGGGGCUGAGGACUUGGCCUGAUGUGCCUGGCACUCGGUUUCUUGCUCCCCCUGAAUAGUCCUGAUCAUGCCAGCUGCCGCCCCACGCAGGCUGAGCGCCGCGAAGGCCGGGAUGCCGCUUCUCGCGUAUGGGUGAGGAGCCGUGGUUCGUUCAGUUCAGCAGAGCGCCAUCGCCGCCCCUGAAGUCCAGCUCUUAGGAUCAGCGCUCAGAACCCCAGACUCUGUGACGUCGUUGUAGAUGCAAAGUUGUCUCUGGUACAGGCCAAAGUGAUUCAUUUCAUGGUAUUGAUUUAUGUUGCCUUUUCUAAAAGUACAGUUAUUUCUAAAUAAAGACAACAUUUAAAAGUUAAGAAGUAAAUUACAAUAACGUUACUUAAAUUAUCAGCUUAAAAAUAAGGAACCUCACAUUACAUAGCAAAUAUAUCCUCGGAAAGUUGCAAGCGAGUGCAUUUUUUGUACGUAAUGUCUUAUUUUCCUGUUGACUUAUAAUGAGAAAUUCAAAAAAUCUAUUUCCUCCCAAAGAACAAUAUUGGCCCCAUUACACUAAAAAUUACACUGGAUCCUGCCAUUUCCUUUGUCAUUGUGGAACCAACAUGUUCCAGCCGUGACGUAAUCCUUCCAAUUCCUGGCUCCCGCUCUCCUCCAAGACUUUCCCGCAGGUCAUUGCAGAUCGCCACCUUCUGCCAAAGGUUUUCACCGACUCUCUGGUCCGACGAGGAACGCUGCUGAGCCUGACUCUAGCAGGAGGAAUAUGAGCCACAAUUGUAUGAAAAUCUUUCCUGGACACCUUCGGAUAAGAUGAAAUAAACUUGGAGAAUGGCAUCUGUGUUGGAAGAAAGUUCUGGACUCCACAGUGGCUUGCUCCAGAAAAGCCAAACCAUCAGCUCUCUUGACAGCACAGAGAAUGCCAGUGUGUGGGAAACAGACCGCGGUCACCCUGAGCGGCAAGGGGCUUUCCAGUGCUUAGGCUCUGAAUGUGAAACAUUUUAGAAAGAGAUGAAACAAUUUUUUUCGCUUGUAUUUUCCUAUGUGUUUGAAGGUCGAUAGAUGAUAAAAAUGUGUCUGAAUAAGUCUGAUUUAGUCUCAAAGAUCUCUUUCAAUAAACCUAAACAUUUCAAACAGAUAAGACAGGAUUGUGU